GACGAACGCUGGCGGCGUGCUUAACACAUGCAAGUCGAACGGAAAGGCCCUGCUUUUGUGGGGUGCUCGAGUGCCGAACGGGUGAGUAACACGUGAGUAACCUGCCCUUGACUUUGGGAUAACUUCAGGAAACUGGGGCUAAUACCGGAUAGGAUCUCCUGCUGCAUGGUGGGGGUUGGAAAGUUUCGGCGGUUGUGGAUGGACUCGCUGCUUAUCAGCUUGUUUGUGGGGUUGUGGAUUACCAAGGCUUUGACGGGUAGCCCGCCUGAGCGGGGUACCAGCGUCCUGGGGACUGAGAGACGGACCAGACUCCUACGGGAGGCAGCAGUGGAGAGUAUGGCAGAAUGGGCGGACGCCUGAUGCAGAAACGUCGGGUGCGGAAAGACGGCCUUUGGGGUAUAAACAGCUUUCGCAGGUGACAAAGAGUGAGUGACGGUAAUGGGUAAAGAAGCAACGGCUAACUACGUG
rnacentral:rRNA from 1 species